rnacentral:rRNA from 1 species
GACGAACGCUGGCGGCGUGCUUAACACAUGCAAGUCGAACGGAGAAUUUAUUUCGGUAAAUUCUUAGUGGCGAACGGGUGAGUAACGCGUGGGCAACCUGCCCUUCAGAUGGGGACAACAUCCCGAAAGGGGUGCUAAUACCGAAUACGAUCACGCUGCCGCAUGGCGGUGUGAUGAAAGAUGGCCUCUAUUUAUAAGCUAUAGCUGAAGGAUGGGCAUGCGUCUGAGUAGCUAGUUGGUGGGGUAACGGCCUACCAAGGCGAUGAUCAGGAGCCGGUCUGAGAGGAUGAACGGCCACAUUGGGACUGAGACACGGCCCAAACUCCUACGGGAGGCAGCAGUGGGGAAUAUUCCGCAAUGGACGAAAGUCUGACGGAGCAACGCCGCGUGAGUGAUGAAGGUUUUCGGACUGUAAAGCUCUGUUGUUUAGGACGAAAGUGCCUGUUGCAAAUAGUUGCAGGUAUUGACGGUACUGAACGAGGAAGCCACGGCUAACUACGUGCCAGCAGCCGCCGUAA